rnacentral:rRNA from 1 species
UACGUAGGGGGCGAGCGUUGUCCGGAAUCAUUGGGCGUAAAGCGCGUGUAGGCGGCCCGGUAAGUCCGCUGUGAAAGUCCAGGGCUCAACCCUGGGAUGCCGGUGGAUACUGUCGGGCUCGAGUCCGGAAGAGGCGAGUGGAAUUCCUGGUGUAGCGGUGAAAUGCGCAGAUAUCAGGAGGAACACCAAUGGCGAAGGCAGCUCGCUGGGACGUUACUGACGCUGAGACGCGAAAGCGUGGGGAGCGAACAGG